rnacentral:rRNA from 1 species
GGGAACCUCACCCGGCCCGGACACCGCGAGGAUUGACAGACUGAGAGCUCUUUCUCGAUUCGGUGGGUGGUGGUGCAUGGCCGUUCUUAGUUGGUGGAGCGAUCUGUCUGGUUAAUUCCGAUAACGAACGAGACCCCAACCUGCUAACUAGCCCUCGGGUCCUGCUUCUGUUGGGCCCGACGGAAUGAUUCGCUUCUUAGAGGGACUCGCGGCGCCUAGCCGCACGAAGGGGUGCGAUAA